rnacentral:misc_RNA from 1 species
GCGUCGAUCAUAUGGUCAGGAGAUAUAUUCUCCUUUCCUCUUAGCCUUAACAGAGCAGGAUGGAAACAAUUGGACAAACACUCACGUAACAACCUUUUCCGCAAUGGAUUCCUCCUAUGUUUUACCAGAUAAUGUUGCAAUAAUAACCCUGCAGGAACUUGAUGAUGGAAAAGUUUUGAUUCGGUUGGCACACUUAUAUGAGAUUGGAGAGGAUAAGGAUAUGUCGAUCACAGCAAGUGUACAAUUGAAAAAGGUGUUCCCAUACAAGAAGAUAAAAAAAGUAACAGAGACAAGUCUAUCUGCCAACCAAGAGAGAGCAGCAAUGGAGAGGAAGAGGCUAAUUUGGAAAGUAGAAGGUUCCUCUGGAGAAGAACCC